GAGAGAGAGAGAGAGAGAGAGAGAGAGAAGAACGAGCCAGAAACCCCUUAAACAUGACGUUUUCUGGAGUAUUAUGACCAGAGCCUACCUGGAAUCAUAAGGAGCAAGGCAGACCGUGAGCCAAUCCAUCACUGGCUACCACAGACACUGACUGCUUCUGGCAGAUUCUGCUGAAUGUCUAACGAAAGAAGCUUUUGCCCUCGCCUGACAGUCUGCAGUUCACACAGCAUUUAUCUUCAUGACACUGAAGUCAGCGAUGCCUCUGCGCCUGAUGAGGAUGGGUAUCAGGUAAGAGAGGUCGAAGAUAUAAGAUACUCUGGAUGAGAAUCUUUUUUGACUGCUCCUUUCACAUUCACAGGACCAGGCUGUGAAUCGACCUACUUACCUUUUCACAUAAGCUUGACUUCAGUGAGAGAAAUGGUCUGUAACAUCCUUUGAUAAAAGUCAGGGAGCUGAAGGCAUUUUGUGUAGACUAGCUUAAGUUUGAAACUUCACCAUUGAGCUGAAUACUCAAAUGAUUUAUUCAUGUUUAUGCUUCAGAUUUGGACAGAACUGUAGACUGGUCAUGAAAAUUGUUUGCCCAGAGAUUUCAUUAGCCUGCGCUGCAAAAACAAACAUGCUCUUUUCCCAGUUUUUCAAACACAGUGCCAAAAAAAAAUGCUGCUGACUAUAUAUAUAUUCUGUUUUUAAAACAGUGAAGCAUUAUACUCUCAACUUACAACAACACUAUGAGGUAGCUCAGUGACACAGCCAAACAUGAUAACAUCUGCAAAGUGGCAUAUUGGAGAGAACUACCCUUGACAUUUCUUUGGCUUGAACACACUUACACUGGGAAUUACAUGGGAAUUAUGUUGUAAUUCUGAACUAGACUGGAAUUGAUGUUUUUGGCGUGAUCAUACAUAUCUGAUCCAUAUUGUUUUGAUCCUGCUUGGAGGAAACAAUCCCAGUGGACAGUUAUAGCUUAGUUUCCAGGGAUGAUAAUUGAUGAUAAUUAUUUAAUUUGAUGAGAGUGGGUUUGAAAGGAAGACAUGGAAGACAAAUUGUCAAAAUGCCAGUGUUUGCUUUGCUCUUACAGUGUCAUUCAGCAGCCCCAGCAGGAUUCCAAGAACUGUUAUUACAAAAACAACUAUAAAAUCAGCCAUUUUUCAUUCAUCAGGGUGAAUUCUUAACUACAUUUUUCAGAUAAAACAACUAGAACAACUUAAAUUAAUUGCAGAAACGAAUACACCCUACAUGCAAUAAAUUGUCUACUAGUAAAUGCUCUGGGGCAAAAAUUUGGGAUAGCAGACAAAAUGUGUCUUAGAAUAUGCCUGGGUCCUCAUUAUUUUCAAUAAACAUAUCAAAAGAUAGACACUUGAUUACAGUCCCUAUUAUUUGUGAUUGUUUAUAUAUAUACACCAAACAUGCACAACAUUAUGACCAGCUCCUUGUUUCUACACCCAUAAUCAAUUUUGUCAGGUUCGUUGAACAUGUUUAACUUUGUAGUCCUGUAUCUGUUUCUCUACAUACUUUAUUAUUUUCUUCCUUUCACCCUGUUCUUUAAUGGUCGGAACCCCAUAGGAUAGAACCACUACAGAGCAGGUAUUAUUUGUGUGGUGGGUAAUUCUCAGUGACACUGACAUGGUGCUGGUGUGUGUUGUGCUGAGGGUAUGAGUGGAUCAGGCACAGCAGUGCUGCUGGAGUUUCUCAGUAUCACUGCUGGACUGAGAGUAGUCCACCAAGAGUA